rnacentral:rRNA from 1 species
AUGACGAGUGGCGGACGGGUGAGUAAUGCUUGGGAACUUGCCUUUGCGAGGGGGAUAACAGUUGGAAACGACUGCUAAUACCGCAUAAUGUCUUCGGACCAAACGGGGCUUCGGCUCCGGCGCAAAGAGAGGCCCAAGUGAGAUUAGCUAGUUGGUAAGGUAACGGCUUACCAAGGCGACGAUCUCUAGCUGUUCUGAGAGGAAGAUCAGCCACACUGGGACUGAGACACGGCCCAGACUCCUACGGGAGGCAGCAGUGGGGAAUAUUGCACAAUGGGGGAAACCCUGAUGCAGCCAUGCCGCGUGUGUGAAGAAGGCCUUCGGGUUGUAAAGCACUUUCAGUUGUGAGGAAAAGUUAGUAGUUAAUACCUGCUAGCCGUGACGUUAACAACAGAAGAAGCACCGGCUAACUCCGUGCCAGCAGCCGCGGUAAUACGGAGGGUGCGAGCGUUAAUCGGAAUUACUGGGCGUAAAGCGCACGCAGGCGGUUUGUUAAGCUAGAUGUGAAAGCCCCGGGCUCAACCUGGGAUGGUCAUUUAGAACUGGCAGACUAGAGUCUUGGAGAGGGGAGUGGAAUUCCAGGUGUAGCGGUGAAAUGCGUAGAUAUCUGGAGGAACAUCAGUGGCGAAGGCGACUCCCUGGCCAAAGACUGACGCUCAUGUGCGAAAGUGUGGGUAGCGAACAGGAUUAGAUACCCUGGUAGUCCACACCGUAAACGCUGUCUACUAGCUGUGUGUGCCUUUAAGGCGUGCGUAGCGAAGCUAACGCGCUAAGUAGACCGCCUGGGGGAGUACGGCCGCAAGGUUAAAACUCAAAUGAAUUGACGGGGGCCCGCACAAGCGGUGGAGCAUGUGGUUUAAUUCGAUGCAACGCGAAGAACCUUACCUACACUUGACAU